rnacentral:misc_RNA from 1 species
UCCGAGUUGACCCCGGCAGUCUCCUACGAGUCCCCGGCAUUAUCCGCUGGCAACAUAAGACGAGGGUUGCGCUCGUUGCGGGACUUAACCCAACACCUCACGGCACGAGCUGACGACAGCCGUGCGUCACCUCGCACAGUGCCCCGAAGGGAGACCGGCUUUCACCGGCUGUCACUGCACGUUCAAGCCCAGGUAAGGUUCUUCGCGUUGCAUCGAAUUAAACCACACGCUCCGCUGCUUGUGCGGGCCCCCGUCAAUUCCUUUGAGUUUUAGCCUUGCGGCCGUACUCCCCAGGCGGGGUGCUUAAUGCGUUAGCUGCGGCACAGACGGCGUGGAAUACCGCCUACACCUAGCACCCAUCGUUUACGGCGUGGACUAC